UGCGUUGUAGUCUAGCUGGUUAGGAUACUCGGCUCUCACCCGAAAGACCUAGGUUCGAGUCCCGACAAUGGAA
rnacentral:tRNA from 1 species